UAGGGAAUCUUCCACAAUGGACGAAAGUCUGAUGGAGCAACGCCGCGUGAGUGAUGAAGGGUUUCGGCUCGUAAAACUCUGUUGUUGGAGAAGAACAGGUGAUAGAGUAACUGUUAUCAUCUUGACGGUAUCCAACCAGAAAGCCACGGCUAACUACGUGCCAGCAGCCGCGGUAAUACGUAGGUGGCAAGCGUUGUCCGGAUUUAUUGGGCGUAAAGCGAGCGCAGGCGGUUUUUUAGGUCUGAUGUGAAAGCCUUCGGCUUAACCGGAGAAGGGCAUCGGAAACCGGGAGACUUGAGUGCAGAAGAGGACAGUGGAACUCCAUGUGUAGCGGUGAAAUGCGUAGAUAUAUGGAAGAACACCAGUGGCGAAGGCGGCUGUCUGGUCUGUAACUGACGCUGAGGUUCGAAAGCAUGGGUAGCGAACAGGAUUAGAUACCCUGGUAGUCCAUGCCGUAAACGAUGAGUGCUAAGUGUUGGAGGGUUUUCCGCCCUUCAGUGCUGCAGCUAACGCAUUAAGCACUCCGCCUGGGGGAGUACGACCGCAAGGUUGAAAC
rnacentral:rRNA from 1 species